UUAGAAUGGUGUACUGAAAACUGAUAAAAACCUGAGUAUGUACUUAUACCAAAAAAUUGCCCCCCAUUAGUUCAAGCAAAAACAAUAUUGUCCAGAAGUAUUUCUUCCUCAUCUUGGACAUUAUCAACCUCAGCUUCAAGGAAGCAGGAAAGCUUGGCAGGAUUUGGGCAAAGCACUGUAAGCCACCCUUUUUUAUAAGCCCCCCCCCCUGAUUAUAAACCACCGCAAAUUGAGCCUACACAUAAUUAUUUGAAUGAAUACGGUAAAGCCAUUCAGAAUUAUUGAAAUGUAAAAUUAUUAAAUUUCAGAUUUGGAUAUGGCUGCACGUCACAGGGCCCGUGCCUCAUCAAUUCAAUUAAUCAAAGUUGAGGUGAUUCCAGCAUCAAAAUGCAAGAGACCAAGCAUCACUCAAUUCCAUAACUCGAAGAUCAGAUUCCCACUGACUCACAGGGUUGUCAAAUCGCAGUUCAAAUCAACUUUUGUUGCCAAAAGACCUUCCACAUUCAUGUAAAAGAUUCUGUGAAUACAGAAGAAUGUGCUUCAAUAUUCAAA